GCUGGCGGUAUGCUUAACACAUGCAAGCCGAACGAGAAGGAAGAGCUUGCUCUUCCUGAAAGUGGCGAACGGGUGAGUAACGUGUGGGUAACUUACCCUUUGGAAAGGAAUAGCCUCGGGAAACUGGGAGUAAUGCCUUAUAAGAUACGUUUGUCGCAUGGCAUUUGUAUUAAACGCUCCGGCGCCAUAGGAUGGACCCGCGUCCCAUUAGCUAGUUGGUGAGAUAACAGCUCACCAAGGCCACGAUGGGUAACCGGUCUGAGAGGGCGAACGGUCACACUGGAACUGAGACACGGUCCAGACUCCUACGGGAGGCAGCAGUGGGGAAUAUUGCGCAAUGGGGGCAACCCUGACGCAGCAAUACCGCGUGAGUGAAGAAGGUUUUCGGAUCGUAAAGCUCUGUUAUUGGGGAAGAAAAAAAGACGGUACCCAAGAAGAAAGUUCCGGCUAACUACGUGCCAGCAGCCGCGGUAAUACGUAGGGAACAAGCGUUGUCCGGAUUUACUGGGCGUAAAGGGCACGCAGGCGGUUUUUUAAGUCAGAUGUGAAAGGCCACAGCUCAACUGUGGACAUGCAUUUGAAACUGAAAGACUUGAGUAUUGGAGAGGCAAGUGGAAUUCCUAGUGUAGCGGUGAAAUGCGUAGAUAUUAGGAGGAACACCGGUGGCGAAGGCGGCUUGCUGGACAAAUACUGACGCUGA
rnacentral:rRNA from 1 species